GAUUCCCCAUUCAGCAACACGCAAUUGGAAGAGUUACGUUACCACAAUAUCUGAGUUGAUAAUUAUUAAUAAUAGCACUUAUUAAUUAUUUCAAACAGUAAUUAUCUUCACUUGUAUCUUUUUAAGUUAAGGACGAUCUAAAAUUAUUUUCUAUAUAAGUUUUAUUAAAAUUAUCAUACAUGGAUUUGAAAAAUUCUUCCGUUGGUCCUUCUUCCUGCACGCAAUUGUUAAAUUAUUGUGCUUAUAAUUGCAGGGAACAUUCGUGGAAAACGAAGAACGAGAGCGGAAAAAUUUAUAUUUCUCUACUCGAGGCCACUAUAAUUUUUUCUUCUUCUUUCGUCGGUAUUUCCCCCGAACAUAUACCUAUCCAUUACACGGUUGUUUCCCAGUGCUCCCUGUAUCGCCCUUUAAAAGCCUUACAAUGCGUCAUCACCGUCGUUCGCUACUGCUCAGACCUGGAGUGCCCUACAACCGUACAAAAGGAUAUAAUCGCAACCCUACAAUAGAAUAGAGUUCGUUUGGAUCAUAAUAAUUUCAAUUGAAGGAACGAACGACGGAGUGGUUCAAAGGGCGUACACGAAUGUCUUCUGAGAGAGCGAACACUGUUAAACUGAGCAUCGCGUUCCGACCGAGCGUGAGCUAAAUGAUCAAAAUAUGGCCCUCGCGUGACAGAUGUGGAGAACAAUCUUUCUUUGCCUUACCAGGAUAUUAUACGUUUCUAUGUUCUUUUACUUUUUUAAUGUAUAUGAUACAUUACAGCGCUUGUAGACGUAGUACGUACAUACUAACAGAUGUAGAUAAUAUGUAAAAAAUCGGUAGUUUAAGUAUUAAAUGCAAUUAGGUUUGGCUUGGUUGAUGUUAGUUUGGCUUAAUGCUAGUGGACUGUCGUUAGGUUAAUUUCGUGUAAUUUCUUUAUAUUUGACCUGCUUUACUUCGUUUUAUGAAAUUUGCAGAAUCUACAAGGAACUCAGGAGAUCCAGGCAAAUCGGACAAUUCAGGAGAUCCAGACAUGUGAGAUGAGAAUUCAGUAGAUUCAGAUAAAUCGGACAAGAAGAAAAUCAAAAGUAUCUGAAUCCGGUAUUAACCAAAAGAAGAGAAAUCCAGAAUGGAAAUGGAAGAAAAUGGAAAGGAAUCACAGCAACUGUAUAAUUCUGACUGUCGUUGGUUCGACUCCCAUAAAAAUACAUUUCAACAGAUUAUAAUAGGGGACAGACGUACACGAUGGGGAUGGCUGGUGAAUUGCCGGACCUCAAAGGUCGUUUCGCCCGAUGAAUCCCCUGAAACGCGUGGCGGAGUGAUCGCCUUUCGAUCGAACGUAUCCUAUGUUUUAUGAAGCUGAUCGACCAAGAGAAGAUGGAGAAUUCCAUGGACACCAGUGAUCCUGUUUCAAGUUAGAUCUGCGGAGAUUCUUUUCUUCGUUUGGCGGAAACUCAAAAUUCUCGAACGAAAAUUUACAUCGAUCUGAGUAGAGACCGUGGUUUCCGUUCGAUUUUCUAUUCAAACUUUACCUUAUGUAAAUCAAAUUUGACUGAAGGUAAAGCAUCAACCGGUAGAUGGUGAUGAUAUGCUGGUUCCAGUA